rnacentral:rRNA from 1 species
CCUACGGGAGGCAGCAGUGGGGAAUAUUGCACAAUGGGCGCAAGCCUGAUGCAGCCAUGCCGCGUGUGUGAAGAAGGCCUUCGGGUUGUAAAGCACUUUCAGCGGGGAGGAAGGCGGUGAGGUUAAUAACCUCAUCGAUUGACGUUACCCGCAGAAGAAGCACCGGCUAACUCCGUGCCAGCAGCCGCGGUAAUACGGAGGGUGCAAGCGUUAAUCGGAAUUACUGGGCGUAAAGCGCACGCAGGCGGUCUGUCAAGUCGGAUGUGAAAUCCCCGGGCUCAACCUGGGAACUGCAUUCGAAACUGGCAGGCUAGAGUCUUGUAGAGGGGGGUAGAAUUCCAGGUGUAGCGGUGAAAUGCGUAGAGAUCUGGAGGAAUACCGGUGGCGAAGGCAGCCCCCUGGACAAAGACUGACGCUCAGGUGCGAAAGCGUGGGGAGCAAACAGGAUUAGAUACCCGUGUAGUC